GACCGCGUAGCUCAGUUGGAAGAGCAUUGGGCAAGUAUUCCAAAGGUCGUAGCUUCGAAUCCCACCGUGGCCG
rnacentral:tRNA from 1 species